UGUCCUUGGGUCUUCAGAGGUUAGGGAUAAAUAUGUGGUGGCAAGGAAAAGGGGGUAUGAUCUGGACAGACAUGUAUAAAAAAAAUUAAAACUUUGUUGAAAGUUAAUGACAAACCCCAGUAUUUGAUAAUGCAUUGUGCUGCAAAUGACAUGGGCAAAACAAAGUUGAAAGAGUUAAUUGAGAAUGUCAAAACCACUUUAGGGAAAAUUCAGCUACUUCUGCCUGAUACAAAAAUUAUAUGGUCACAAUUGUUACCUAGGAGGAAAUGGAGAUACUCUGAAGAUGUCAAUGCCAUGAAAAAAUCUUUAAAAAGGUUAAACAGCUCCAUUGCAGCUGAGCUUGUUAGAAAGGGGGGUGGCUACAUUAAGUACCCAGAUAUUAAACCCAAUGAUGAGCUGUUGUUUGACAGGGAUGGUGUUCAUUUGUCUGAAAAAGGAACUGAAAUAUUUUUAAAUACAAUUUGUGCUGCUAUUGAACAAUUUAGCAAAACCGGGAUACUUGUUUAUCCCAAACUCUACUAGUUUUGAACCAAGUUUAUUGUUCAUGUGGGAUGUGGCAAGGUCUAGGCUUAAGGAACUACCCGCUUCCCCCACUUGGUGGCGGUGGCUUCACUGAAUACAUGCAGUGCAUGCAUUCACUUUCGCCAUGUGGAUGAAUGCGCGUGUUGUUCCCGAUCUACUUGUGCACAAUUGAUGUGCAGUUGAAAUUAUUUGAUAAUGACAAUUUGAAGUUGAACAAUUUUUGUCUCGGGUUGCCGUUUACCGGAAUCUGAGUUGACCAAGUUGGUGUUUUGCAUUUAUAUUGAUUGCAAUUGUUGAAGUUGUAAUAUUGUUUUUGAGCCAUUUGCUAAUUUUUUAUGUUGCAAAUAUUUUCUUUGCCGUUAACCGGAAAGAAUAAAUUUGCACAGUUGGUUGUUUGAAAAUUGUUGAAUUUUUUAGACAAUGAUGUGUUUUUGACCAUACCCAUUUGAAAAUAUGGAUUGGUUUUAUGAGUGCUGACCAUGUUGAGUGUUAGCAUGCUUCAGGUCUACAAUAAUAAGAUUUAUUAAUUAAAAAAUAAAUCAAUUUAUUUUAGAGUGAAGCAAAGUUUUUUAAUUAUUCCGGAAUUUUUUAUUCCGGACAUUCGUACAGUUUUGGUUUACGUUUAACAAACUUCCUUUUUGAAAAAGGCAGCAACCGGGAUGCACAUGAAAUAGUUGUGAGAAAAAUAUUUUCCCCUCCCACCCUUGUUACCCCUUUGAUUUGUUUAAAUAUAAGAAUUUUACUGCGUAUUGAACUUUAUAUUUCAGGAUGAGCUUCAAGAAAUCAUUGAUGGGAAAAAGGCUCACAGAUUCAGUAUUGGUUAACCUUCACAGUUUUUUUAAUUGACUAAAGUCAAUUAAGGAGUCUCGACUAGAAAACCAACCACUUCAUGAAAUUGCAUUUUGAAGAAUGUGCUACUUGUUGUUUCUGUCUUCAUGCUAGAUGAAUGCGCGUGUUGUUCCCGAUCUACUUGUGCACAAUUGAUGUGCAGUUGAAAUUAUUUGAUAAUGACAAUUUGAAGUUGAACAAUUUUUGUCUCGGGUUGCCGUUUACCGGAAUCUGAGUUGACCAAGUUGGUGUUUUGCAUUUAUAUUGAUUGCAAUUGUUGAAGUUGUAAUAUUGUUUUUGAGCCAUUUGCUAAUUUUUUAUGUUGCAAAUAUUUUCUUUGCCGUUAACCGGAAAGAAUAAAUUUGCACAGUUGGUUGUUUGAAAAUUGUUGAAUUUUUUAGACAAUGAUGUGUUUUUGACCAUACCCAUUUGGUGUCAAUGCACUAAUGGCAUUUCCAUUGUAAAAUUAUGAUGUAAUUUACAAAUACUUUAUUUACACAUAUUUUACUCAUUGUCUUGAAGCCAAGACCAAACAAUGCCACAGAGGGGGGUAGAUUACAAUACAUGAAAACAAUAAAUCUGUUGUGAAUCUGA